AAUCACGCUUGACUGCCUCAAGUUAAAAGUGCUUGUGGGAGUUUUUUACAAAUGGUGGAAGAUUAAAUGUUUCUUUGUAAAACGCAUGGUAAGCACAUCUUGCUGUGUGCCUGAUAAGAUCAACACUUCAAAAAAUUAUAAUUAUUUUAAAGUAAAUAAAUAUACAGAAUUAAUAAUUUGAUUGGUAUCUUUCAGAGGCUCACCCUGAUCUUCAGAAUGUUGUAGGAUCAUCUUCUCCAAGGUUCCUUGAUGUGAAGUGGAUAUGAACUGGCUAUGAAGUUAAGGUCUUUGGGUCUUGCUAAGAUUCUCCCGUAAAGUGGCUGAAAGAAAAAUAAAAGGUCUUGAGGUGUGAUGCAUUGGUCAACAUGAUGGGAAUGAACCCUUAUGUAAAUGCACCCUUGAGCCUUCUGAUAGACAGAACUCCUCCCAAUGUAGUGGAGGACCAGGAUGUAUGGCGACUUGUCUAAGGAAGGGCACUGGCUUGCUCCUGAGUAGGGAGUUCCAGAUGAAAGCCUAAGACUUAAGUUAUGGAAAUUAAUUUAUUUCAAGAUCUUGCUGUACUUUUAUACCAAUAAAUUAAAUUUUAUAUUUCAAAA